rnacentral:rRNA from 1 species
UGAGGAAUAUUGGUCAAUGGACGAGAGUCUGAACCAGCCAAGUAGCGUGCAGGAAGACGGCCCUAUGGGUUGUAAACUGCUUUUAUAAGGGAAUAAAGUGAGUCUCGUGAGACUUUUUGCAUGUACCUUAUGAAUAAGGACCGGCUAAUUCCGUGCCAGCAGCCGCGGUAAUACGGAAGGUCCGGGCGUUAUCCGGAUUUAUUGGGUUUAAAGGGAGCGUAGGCGGACGAUUAAGUCAGCGGUAAAAUAGAGUGGCUCAACCAUUCUCCGCCGUUGAUACUGGUUGUCUUGAGUUCACACAAGGAAGAUGGAAUUCGUGGUGUAGCGGUGAAAUGCUUAGAUAUCACGAAGAACUCCGAUUGCGAAGGCAGCUCACUGGAGCGCAACUGACGCUGAAGCU